AGCCGGCGGCGGUUCGGCACCGAAACCGGAUAGACCUCGGUGUCACCGGCACGGAGGGAGGCUGCAGGCCCGGCUCCCGCUGCAAGCAGGAGCGCACUCGGCAGACACUUGGCUACUGAGAUGAAGUUUGUCAUACAACAGGAUACAACAGUGCUCAAUGUACUUCCUGCCCCCAGAAGCAUCUGCAGCCUCCAGGGAGCAGAGACACAAGAGAGAACCUGGUUCAGGAAGCAUACCAUGCCUACGUGGGAGCUAGAGGAACAGUUUGCUUGCUGGCUUUGAAAAGAUGACUGCUCAGCAGGGAAGGUGGGACAGAAAGAAUGAAAUUUGGAACCUGCAGGGCAGCCUGCUUCUGGUGAAAUAUCUCUGUACUGGUAUCUUCUUGUAACAAAAAGAUGGAAGUACAAAAUGGAGGGACAGGAAGUCAUUUGCAGGCCUUAUGUAAUAUGCAUCUCUGUGAAGAGGUGCAUGCCAGAGGAUUCCUCUACCCACACAGCUCUCCACCAUGCAGGCAUUCCUCUGCAGCCUUAUCUUUGCAUAACUCAAGCAUAGACCUCCUACAGGAUCAUCUCCCACCUCUAAUGUGCAUCUGUUCGUUCUCUGCCUGUCAAGCCUCUUCAGAAUUUAAAAGACAUUGCAAGAGAUAGAAGAACAAGCUUUCAAGUUUGAGUGCACCAGAUCAGGAGAAAUCCAAUAAGAAAUGUGAAUUUAUAUUGCCUUACUUAUUCCUCUUUUUUAUUUUUCCAGAGUGGAAAAGAGAAAGGAGAACUGCUGUCUAAGGAACUGUUGCUUGCGAUAUAUUUCUCCAUGGCAAUAAAAAUAUCCGCAAGGCAGAGGUACAAUUCUCUUUUUAGACCUGACACCUCCAAAGCCUGAUAUAUGUGGCUGAGUUAGAUGAAAAGGUAUUAGGUUUUUUAUUAGAUUAUGAUGCAAGCUCAAGCUGGCUAGGCUCAUCAGACAAUAAAUCUAGUGCAAGUAUGUGUGGCCAAAUUCUACUCUCAUAAUUGUUGCUCUCUGUGGUCAGUAUUACUUGCUACUGUGAUACUGGCUCUCUUCUGCUAGUUGUGAGAAGGGCAUAGAUUAUUUACAAUGUAAACAGUCGCUGACAUAGAAUAAUUCUGAUUGUGCUUCCACAUUAAAUCAGGAAUAAUGCUACUAAAGGCGAAGCAGUUAUUCUUCCUUACACAAUACAUGAAUCCAAAUUUAGGCCUUUAUCACAAGGCUAAGGUUUGAUAGGUAUAGCAUGGAUAUUUAUGCAUGGCUUUUUACCAUCGAUGACUUCUUGUUUCAGAAAUAACCUUUUUUUUGAUCCUUUCUGAUAGCUGCAUGUUGUGUUAAAGUAAAUCAAACUGUUAUGGAGAUCUUCUAUUGACAUUAGCAGGGACUGCACAAGAAUUGGGUGGCUGAGAACUGCACUUUUCUGUGCUUUUUCCAUUCCAGACAGUGACAUUCUCAUGAACAGUAGGAAGCUCUCUUCACAGUAGGUCAUCCUCAUUCUAAACUUGCUCCAAAUGAUACAGCUGCUCAGCAGUGAAACAGGCUCCCCAAAGGGACAAAUGUAAACCCAGGCUAAGCUCACAGAUGUUCUAUGGCAGAGUAUCUGCUGUGCAUUAUAACACACAAAAUAUAUUGCUGUGAUUUUUUUAAAGGUCGCAAUAACUCAAGACAUCCCACAAAAAGAAUAAAAGCUCACCUGAAACGAUGGCAUGUUUGAGAAAAUGAAAACUGUCACAUCAUAAACUAAGUUCUUCCUUGUAGUCAAUUUUUGGAUAAGCAUCUCAAAAGAUACUGCAGCAGAGCCAUAAAUCCAGAUGCCAGUUCUCAAGCCAAGCUUUCAAAAAUUCCAAUCUUUGUGAAUGUAUAUUAAUCUGAAUUCAGUGCUGAGAUAAGCAACUCCUGAUGAAAGCAGCAGGAUAUACAUGAGACAAUAAAGAAAUAUUUUCCAAUAUAUUGCUAUGUCUGCACUACCUUUUCAGAGUUUGUAGUCAUUCUCUCACACUAGAAAAAUGCGUCUUCAUCUCAGUGCAGUGAAGAAAAGUAUUUCUGGCCUCCAUCUGAACAAUUAAUAGUUAUGCCAGUAUCUCUGAGGCUCCUAGGGGGUUAGUCUUCCCUAAUAAUUUUCAGGUCUCUUCCAGUAUUCCAAAACAGGCCUAAAAUCCUUAUCUGGAUCUCCUGUUUAACCAGUGAUUACUUGCAACUCUGGGCAUGUUUCUCCUAUUCCUUUCCCACUGGCCUGUGCAUUCACGUCUAUAAACCUACUGAAACGCACAAUGAAUGUAAGAACUGUAAUUAUGUGACUAUAUUCUGCUGUAGCUUUGCCACUGUAAUUCUCCUUGUUCUCCCUUUCCCAGGGACAGUUUAAAAUAAGUUACUUUAAAGAAGAA